rnacentral:rRNA from 1 species
AGUGAACGCUGGCGGCGUGCCUAAUACAUGCAAGUCGAACGGAAUUUAAAAGAGCUUGCUCUUUUAAAUUUAGUGGCGCACGGGUGAGUAAUAUAUAGCUAAUCUGCCCCUUGCUGGAGGACAACAGUUAGAAAUGACUGCUAAUACUCCAUACUCCUUUUUACCAUAAGAUAAAUCGGGAAAGAAUUUCGGCAAGGGAUGAGACUAUAUCGUAUCAGCUAGUCGGUGGGGUAACGGCCUACCGAGGCUAUGACGCGUAACUGGUCUGAGAGGAUGAUCAGUCACAUUGGAACUGAGACACGGUCCAAACUCCUACGGGAGGCAGCAGUAGAGAAUAUUGCGCAAUGGGGGAAACCCUGACGCAGCAACGCCGCGUGGAGGAUGACACUUUUCGGAGCGUAAACUCCUUUUGUUAGGGAAGAAUAAUGACGGACCUAACGAAUAAGCACCGCA